GCAUGAAUCACCCAGAAUGUGUUUUUUGGACUGCCUCCUUCCACUUAGCAUAGUGCAGCCUGUGAGUGAGUUCCUUUUUUUUUUUUUUUUUUUUUUUUUUUGCUAUCAUGUUCUGGCACCAUGCUGUUCAUUCAUUAGCUGGUGGCCUAUUGGGUUGUCAUAUGUUAGCAUCUACUCUUUCUCUCUCUACAUUUUUAGGCGAGUGGUUACUAAGCUGUGUAGACUGCAUUGAGUUCUGCGUUUUCCACUGGUUUCUCCCAUGUGCGGUGAUUAAAAAUCCCUGAGAAUAUUCUGUAAGAGUUACAUAAUAACAUUCCAUCCCAUGGCUGCAUUAUAAUAAUUGACCUGACCGCUCCCUUGAAAUCAAGCAUUUAGCUGUUUCUAAUUGAAAUAGGGCUUUUCAAAAGAGCAACAAAAUGAGAGAAACCUCAGAGAAACUUUGCAGAGAAGCUUAAGCCACCUUCUCAGCCUAUCUGUGCCUGCAGGCUGCAAAGCCUAGUGGGGGGCAAAAGUGAUUUAUCCCAAAUUGCUAAAAGGCUCUUUCUGGUCAGAAUGAGGAUGAGUUUCUUGCUAGGUAGGAGGCAGAGCAGUUCUGCCUUAGGGCGUCUUUACCAGACCCUCAAAGCAGAGGGAAAUGUUUGGAAAGAAGAGAAAAUGGCAGCUAAGCUAAGCCGUGUACCCCCAGAUCUUAUACUUUUUUUUUUUUUUACAUUUUUUUCUUCUUCUCAUGUCUUGGUUGCUGUGAAGAGACACCAUGACCACGGCAACUUCUAUAGGAAAACAUUUCACUGGGACUGACGAGGUUUAGUCCAUUGUCAUGUUGGGGAGCAUGGCUGCACACAGGCAGGCAUUGUGCAGGAGAAUUAGCUACGUCCAGAUCCACGGGCAGCAGGAAGAGAGACUCUGGAUUUGGCACGGGGGUCUUGAGACCUCAAAGCCUACCCACCCCCAGUGACACAUUUCCUCCGACAGAACCACACGGCCUAAUCUUUGCAAAUAGCACUACUCCCUAGUGACCAAGCUUUCAAAUAUGGGAGCCUAUGGGAGCCACUCUUACUCAAACAAGAGCAUCAUUCUUGGUUACAAGGUCAUCAUGCACAGUAGAAACUGAAGGUUUCAGCACCAGAUGUAUAAAUUAACAGGACGCGCUUCAAGGUAUAGUAAACAAACUCAUAUUGUAGAUAUGAGGGAAACACAGCCAGAAGCACCUGGAAGAGUCCAGAGCAGGGAGAGAAGAUAGUAGACUGGAUGUAGCCAGAAGAGGGGUAGGGAUGAAAACAGAGAGAGGGGAGGGGCGCAGACACCCAACGGCAAGCACCAAGAGAGGGCACAGAGAGAGGACUAAGAGAAGAAGGUAUAAGGGAGCGCGUGGCCACAAGAGCAGGGUUAUCAGGAGCUUCAGGAAUCCCAUGAGCUGGACAAGUUUAAGUUUAGGUAGGGUGAUUCUGGGUGAGCCUGGAGGCCAGCAUGC
rnacentral:lncRNA from 1 species